UACGUAGGGCGCAAGCGUUGUCCGGAAUUAUUGGGCGUAAAGAGCUCGUAGGCGGUUUGUCGCGUCUGCUGUGAAAACCUCGAGGCUCAACCUCGGGCUUGCAGUGGGUACGGGCAGACUAGAGUGCGGUAGGGGGUGGACUGGAAUUCCUGGUGUAGCGGUGGAAUGCGCAGAUAUCGGGAGGAACACCAAUUGCGAAGGCAGCUCGCUGGGACGUCGACUGACGCUGAGA
rnacentral:rRNA from 1 species